GACUUUCUCCAGCCGGUUGUCAGAAAAUGAAAGCCAGUUUGCUCUUUCUGCAUCCACAGAGAAUAUAACUGACAGACACUCUCCGGGCUGGAAUGAGUCCUUAUGGUGAAGUCUGAAACAUGUUCAGUCUUUGUUCUUCAGUCACACUGUCAUUAUUAUUAUUGUUGUUGUUGUUGUUACUUUACUUCUGCAUAACACCGGAACCCUGAGAAACCCACAUUCCUGGGUUCUCUGGCUUUGCCCCUUUUGGAAUGAUUUAUAUUCAGCUGUGACUUGGCUGUGUUGAAGGAACGCCUUAAAAAUAGCUCUUUAAUGUGCACUAUUGUAUCUACACGAGGAUGCUGUCUAUAAUUUCAUAAAAUGCUCCCUUUCUGAGGACCCACGGGAGGAAUUUUACUUAAAAUGCAGACUCUUUCUGUUCGCUGAUGGGGCUCCCUUAUUCUGCCAGUUUGCAUAGCCUGUUUGUCUCUGGUGGGCACUGCUGGGUGCUGGAGCCAGGACGAGGAACACAGAGGGAUUUCUGUCCCAGAGCUUCCGGUCAGUGGAGAGGACAGAUGCUUAUUCAUCUCUCAGAUGAAUGUGUGGGUGACAAAUGUAACUGCAAGAGACCUGAAGGACAGGGACUCGCUCUGAGAGUGUAGAGGGGGUUGUCUGUGACUGUGCUACCUAAAGGGGCCUCGUGCAUGCAAAGUGAAUGCUCUACCCCUGAGCCACAUCCCCAGCCUGCUGAUUCUCCUGGAGAAGCUUGUUGAGCUGGUUUUCCUGAGAAGAACUUGGCUGUUUCCAUCAUCAGAAGAGCUCAGGAUCUUGCUGUCUCUGAGGAUGGCUGUGGUUCUUUUUGAGGGAGCGCUGGUCUUUACUUUGAGCAUCGCUUGCUGGUUCCAGCGCCCAUCCCUCAUUCAGCCUGCUGGCACAGAUCCUUCAUCCCGCUGGCACAAACUUUCUGGCUUCUGCACUGACCUUUGGGCCAGUGCAGAUCCUGGCUACAGAUUUGCACAAGACAUUGCUAUGACUGUAGGUUUUCAGCUGGACUCACGAUGACAUUGCUGUGGGAUUCAGCCCUCAGCUGAAUUCUUUGGGUCUGAGUGUGUGGACAAAUUUCUCGCACUCUUUUGCAUUUGAUUCUUGGGGUGAAUAUAAAAUAAUCCUAUAAA